rnacentral:tRNA from 3 species
GGGCGCUUAGCUCAGCGGGAGAGCGCUUCCCUGACACGGAAGAGGUCACUGGUUCAAUCCCAGUAGCGCCCA